UACGGGGGGAGCAAGCGUUGUUCGGAUUUACUGGGCGUAAAGGGCGCGUAGGCGGCCAGCACAAGUCAGUUGUGAAAUCUCCGAGCUUAACUCGGAACGGUCAACUGAUACUGUGCGGCUAGAGUGCGGAAGGGGCAACUGGAAUUCUUGGUGUAGCGGUGAGAUGCGUAGAUAUCAAGAGGAACACCUGCGGCGAAGGCGGGUUGCUGGGCCGACACUGACGCUGAGGCGCGAAAGCCAGGGGAGCGAACGGG
rnacentral:rRNA from 1 species